GGCCUAACACAUGCAAGUCGAGCGGUAACCUUUCUAGCUUGCUAGAAGAUGACGAGCGGCGGACGGGUGAGUAAUGCUUGGGAACAUGCCUUUGUGUGGGGGACAACCAUUGGAAACGAUGGCUAAUACCGCAUAAUGUCUACGGACCAAAGGGGGCUUCGGCUCUCGCCUUUAGAUUGGCCCAAGUGGGAUUAGCUAGUUGGUGAGGUAAUGGCUCACCAAGGCGACGAUCCCUAGCUGGUUUGAGAGGAUGAUCAGCCACACUGGAACUGAGACACGGUCCAGACUCCUACGGGAGGCAGCAGUGGGGAAUAUUGCACAAUGGGCGCAAGCCUGAUGCAGCCAUGCCGCGUGUGUGAAGAAGGCCUUCGGGUUGUAAAGCACUUUCAGUAGUGAGGAAAGGUUAGUAGUUAAUACCUGCUAGCUGUGACGUUACUUACAGAAGAAGCACCGGCUAACUCCGUGCCAGCAGCCGCGGUAAUACGGAGGGUGCGAGCGUUAAUCGGAAUUACUGGGCGUAAAGCGUACGCAGGCGGUUUGUUAAGCGAGAUGUGAAAGCCCCGGGCUCAACCUGGGAACUGCAUUUCGAACUGGCAAACUAGAGUGUGAUAGAGGGUGGUAGAAUUUCAGGUGUAGCGGUGAAAUGCGUAGAGAUCUGAAGGAAUACCGAUGGCGAAGGCAGCCACCUGGGUCAACACUGACGCUCAUGUACGAAAGCGUGGGGAGCAAACGGGAUUAGAUACCCCGGUAGUCCACGCCGUAAACGAUGUCUACUAGGAGUUCGGUUUUUCGGAACUGUCUUCCAAAGCUAACGCAUUAAGUAGACCGCCUGGGGAGUACGGCCGAAAGGUUAAAACUCAAAUGAAUUGACGGGGGCCCGCACAAGCGGUGGAGCAUGUGGUUUAAUUCGAUGCAACGCGAAGAACCUUACCUACACUUGACAUCCAGAGAACUUACUAGAGAUAGUUUGGUGCCUUCGGGA
rnacentral:rRNA from 1 species